rnacentral:rRNA from 1 species
AUUGAACGCUGGCGGCAUGCUUUACACAUGCAAGUCGAACGGUAACAGGGAGCUUGCUCCGCUGACGAGUGGCGAACGGGUGAGUAAUGCGUCGGAACGUGCCGAGUAGUGGGGGAUAACGCAUCGAAAGGUGUGCUAAUACCGCAUACGUACUGAGGUAGAAAGUGGGGGACCUUCGGGCCUCACGCUAUUCGAGCGGCCGACGUCUGAUUAGCUAGUUGGUGAGGUAAAGGCUCACCAAGGCGACGAUCAGUAGCGGGUCUGAGCGGAUGAUACGCCACGCUGGGACUGAGGCACGGCACAGACUACUACGGGAGGCAGCAGUGGGGAAUUGUGGACAAUGGGCGCAAGCCUGCUCCAGCCAUGCCGCGUGUCUGAAGAAGGCCUUCGGGUUGUAAAGGACUUUUGUCCGGGAGCAAAUGCCUGGUGUUAAUAGCACUGGGAGCUGAGAGUACCGGAAGAAUAAGCACCGGCUAACUACGUGCCAGCCGCCGCGGUAACAC